GUCCGAUCUUGUGCGAAUUAAUAGGGAAGAAAAAAUAUUUGGACACAUUUUUUUAUGGUCUUCAGUGACACUGUCUAUACACAGACAAUACCAACAUAACGGCAUGGCAGUGUGAAAGAUUAAUUUUAUAUAAGUGUUCUGCUGUAUUGAAAAUGUCAUUGUGAGCGUACCAGUGGAAAUUACGCACCUUCACUGAAUUAUAGGGAUGAAACACACUGUAUCCAGGGAAUGUUCGAUUUUAUCAAACGCAAAUCUUUUUGUUAAACAGAAAAUAAUUCAGUUUAAUAUUAAUUUAUUUCCUUAAAACUCACCUAGUGUUUUCAGUCACGAACUAUUGUAGUAGCAAGUUCCGCCGGUUAUAGUCAUAAGUCGUGACUAAUAUGACAAUCGUCCGAAAAAUUCAAUCAUGUGACUAUAAAAGGGAGAUAAAAACUCAUCUACUACAUGACGAAUACAAAUUCACAAAGCCAGUUAACAAAACUUAUUGUGUAAACUUCAAGGUUAUGUCGAAAUGCAAUGACUGCAUUGUGUCAAAUAGAACGCACAAUACUUGGAAGUACAAUAAACGAAAACUGUCAAAAUACAUUAAAAUGGGACCAUCUCUAUCCCCACUGUCAGGAUACCUUGAUGAGGCAGUAAGUACACCUGAAACAUUAAAAACAGUGCAAGAACCCAAAAGAGAGCCAUCUUAAAAUCUAAUUUUGAUGUGUCUGGGUGCAGCUGGUCGGUAAAUCGAAGAAAACCCUACUUAGAAGAAGUAAGAUAAUGUAGCUGGGACGACAGCGUGAACACUAAGCAUGCAUGCUCUGGAUGAGACCAUACCUGUCAGCAGGUGGGGGAUGAUGUAACUCUUUUUUCCUUGGCAAAGGUUCAACCUACACAAUGCAAUAUAAUUGUUUCCAUGUUGUUAAAGAUUAUACUCGUGUCAUAAACUUCACUACAGAACAAAAUGAGUGAACAUUAUUAAAUAUUUCAAACAGA